rnacentral:tRNA from 1 species
GCUUUAGUAGCUUAAUUGGUAAAGCACUUCCUCGAUAUUUUACCGUAAUAUGAAAUAUCAAGAAGGGUAUCUUAGUUCGAAUCCAAGCUAAAGCA